AUGGAGGUCGAUGGCGCGGAGAAGUCGCAGGCGAGGUGCAGGCAUAGCAGAGCAGACGAGACAUCGCUUGGGGCUCGGGGUUGCAGGGAAGGAGCAGCUCCGGUGGUUCCGCGCCGGAGACGGCAGGGGAGCGACGUCCUCGGGCAGCGCGACGAGGUGAAGGCUGGCGGCGGCGAGCGGGCUCCGGUGGCCGGCUGUGGUGCAGAGGCGACAUGGUCGACGGGGAGGCGCGGGGCCCAAGAGAUGAGGCCGACCGCCAGGCCAUGGCGAUGGGAGAGAGAUGAGGGGAUCGGGCGGUGGCUGCGGUUCUCUCUCCGGCAGUGCACAGGAGAGAGGAAAGAGAUCGAGAGAGAGGUGACGGCGCUACGGGAGGAAGGAAAGAGAUCGAGGAGGCAGGUCACGGCUAGGUUUAACAGCAGCUGGGCCUAG
rnacentral:rRNA from 1 species